rnacentral:rRNA from 1 species
UUGGCCCUACGGGAGGCAGCAGUGGGGGAUAUUGCACAAUGGGGGGAACCCUGAUGCAGCGACGCCGCGUGGGCGAUGGAGUACUUCGGUAUGUAAAGCCCUAUCAGCAGGGAAGAAGAUGACGGUACCUGACUAAGAAGCCCCGGCUAAAUACGUGCCAGCAGCCGCGGUAAUACGUAUGGGGCAAGCGUUAUCCGGAUUUACUGGGUGUAAAGGGAGCGCAGGCGGCCUGGCAAGCCUGAUGUGAAAUACCGGGGCCCAACCCCGGGGCUGCAUUGGGAACUGCCAGGCUGGAGUGCCGGAGG